rnacentral:rRNA from 1 species
UGGGGAAUAUUGCACAAUGGGCGCAAGCCUGAUGCAGCCAUGCCGCGUGUAUGAAGAAGGCCUUCGGGUUGUAAAGUACUUUCAGUCGGGAGGAAGGUGUCAAGGUUAAUAACCUUGGCAAUUGACGUUACCGACAGAAGAAGCACCGGCUAACUCCGUGCCAGCAGCCGCGGUAAUACGGAGGGUGCAAGCGUUAAUCGGAAUUACUGGGCGUAAAGCGCACGCAGGCGGUUGAUUGAGUCAGAUGUGAAAUCCCCGGGCUUAACCCAGGAAGUGCAUCUGAUACUGGGCAGCUAGAGUCUUGUAGAGGGGUGUAGAAUUCCAUGUGUAGCGGGGAAAUGCGUAGAGAUGUGAAGGAAUACCGGUGGCGAAGGCGGCCCCCUGGACGAAGACUGAGGCUCGGGGGCGAAAGCGUGGGGAGCAAACAGG